rnacentral:lncRNA from 1 species
UGUAAAUAGGCUGAAACAUGGCCCAAUGAGAAGACGAACUUAGGACAUAGCAGAGCCCAAUCAUAACUUAGACAAAUAAAAUCGUAGUUUUGUUUUUCUUUAUUCGGAAACUGGACUCAACGCAACGGAGAAGACUGUCAAGUUUGUCGAGUGAAGCAAAGCAUUAUCAUUGUGCUUCUGAUUCGAUUACUUUCCCUUACAGCUGCUUCGAUCUCUCCUCGAUUUCACACAGACAACAAAAAUGGCGUCCAUGUUCUUCAGGCGACUUGCCAGAGCCGCGACCCCUUCUGCGUCUCCUGGAGGAAAUGGAGGUUAUUCAUCCGGAUCAAAUUACAGUGGCUUCCGUUUUCCCUUUGGAGCGGUUGCUGCAGUUUCCGCCGGAAUCUCUUAUGUCUACUGUUGUUCCUCUCCUCAUCUGGUAAAUU